rfam:Citrus sinensis cultivar Ridge Pineapple sweet orange scaffold00073_contig_73, whole genome shotgun sequence.
ACUUUGAGUGAUGAUGAUUUAAUUUUGCACAUACUCUCUGGCUUAGGUCCAUAUUAUAAUUCUGUUGCCACAUGUAUCACUAGACAAGUAGGUGUUGGGAAGAUGAAUAUUAAUGAAGCCUAUCUUAUGCUUUUAACUCAAG